rnacentral:rRNA from 1 species
GUGUCAGCAGCCGCGGUAAUACGUAGGUGGCAAGCGUUGUCCGGAUUUACUGGGCGUAAAGGGCGUGCAGGCGGUCUGUUAAGUCUAGGGUGAAAGCUCCCGGCUCAACUGGGAGAGGUCCUUGGAUACUGGCGGACUUGAGGGAGGCAGAGGAGAAUAGAAUUCCCGGUGUAGUGGUGAUAUGCGUAGAUAUCGGGAGGAAUACCAGUGGCGAAGGCGGUUCUCUGGGCCUUACCUGACGCUGAGACGCGAAAGCGUGGGGAGCGAACCGGAUUAGAAACCCCGGUAGUCC